GCAUCUACCGAUUGAAUGGAGAGGUAAAAUCUCCGGACUAUGACGCGUUGGGGUCAAACCUAGUGCAGUCGUGGGAAGUGGAUUAAACCUUUCCAUUUAGAGGAAGAUGAAGUCGUAACAAGGUUUCCGUAGGUGAACCUGCAGAAGGAUCAAGAUCGGAAUAGCACACGUCUUUACUCCUGUCACUUUGCCUUAUCUCGUAUGCCCUCUUCUGCUUGUCAAUAAACCCUUCCUUUUCUCCCUCCUUCUUCCCCCUCCUCUUUCCUCCUCUUUCUCC
rnacentral:misc_RNA from 1 species